UGGCGGCGUGCCUAACACAUGCAAGUCGAACGGAGUCGGCCCCGCGAGGGACUGACUUAGUGGCGAACGGGUGAGUAACGCGUGAGCAACCUGCCUUUCAGUGGGGGACAACAGUUGGAAACGACUGCUAAUACCGCAUAAAGCAUUUUGAUCGCAUGAUCGAGAUGCCAAAGAUUUAUUGCUGAAAGAUGGGCUCGCGUCUGAUUAGAUAGUUGGUGGGGUAACGGCCCACCAAGUCGACGAUCAGUAGCCGGACUGAGAGGUUGAACGGCCACAUUGGGACUGAGAUACGGCCCAGACUCCUACGGGAGGCAGCAGUGGGGAAUAUUGGGCAAUGGGGGAAACCCUGACCCAGCAACGCCGCGUGAAGGAAGAAGGCUUUCGGGUUGUAAACUUCUUUUACCAGGGACGAAGAAAGUGACGGUACCUGGAGAAAAAGCCACGGCUAACUACGUGCCAGCAGCCGCGGUAAUACGUAGGUGGCAAGCGUUGUCCGGAUUUACUGGGUGUAAAGGGCGUGUAGGCGGAGAUGCAAGUCAGAUGUGAAAUCCCCGGGCUUAACCCGGGAACUGCAUUUGAAACUGUAUCCCUUGAGUAUCGGAGAGGCAGGCGGAAUUCCUAGUGUAGCGGUGAAAUGCGUAGAUAUUAGGAGGAACACCAGUGGCGAAGGCGGCCUGCUGGACGACAACUGACGCUGAGGCGCGAAAGCGUGGGGAGCAACCAGGAUUAGAUACCCUGGGUAGUCCACGCUGUAAACGAGGAAUAUUAGGUGUGGGGGGAUUGACCCUUUCCGUCCCGCAGUAAACCCAUUAAGUAUUCCACCUGGGGGAGUAGGACCCCAAGGUGGAAAUUCAAAGGAUUGGACGGGGGCCGGCACAAGCAGUGGAUUAUGGUGUUUUAAUUGGACGCACCGCGAAAGACCUUUACCGGGUUUUGACAUCCUACUAAGAAAGUAGAGAUACAUUAGGUGCCUUUCGGGGAAAGUAGAGACAGGUGGUGCAUGGUNGUCGUCAGCUCGUGUCGUGAGAUGUGGGGUUAAGUCCCGCAACGAGCGCAACCCCUAUUGUUAGUUGCUACGAAAGAGCACUCUAGCGAGACUGCCGUUGACAAAACGGAGGAAGGCGGGGACGACGUCAAAUCAUCAUGCCCCUUAUGUCCCGGGCUACACACGUAAUACAAUGGCGAUCAACAGAGGGAAGCAAAGCCGCGAGGCAGAGCAAAUCCCCAAAAGUCGUCUCAGUUCGGAUUGCAGGCUGAAACCCGCCUGCAUGAAGUUGGAAUUGCUAGUAAUCGCGGAUCAGCAUGCCGCGGUGAAUACGUUCCCGGGCCUUGUACACACCGCCCGUCACACCAUGAGAGUCGGGAACACCCGAAGUCCGUAGUCUAACCGCAAGGAGGGCGCGGCCGAAGGUGGGUUCGAUAAUUGGGGUGAAGUC
rnacentral:rRNA from 1 species